rnacentral:rRNA from 1 species
UACCAGCACCCCGAGUGGUCGGGACGAUUAUUGGGCCUAAAGCAUCCGUAGCCGGUUUUACAAGUCCUCCGUUAAAUCCAGCUGCUUAACAGAUGGGCUGCGGAGGAUACUAUAAGACUAGGAGGCAGGAGAGGCAAGCGGUACUCAGUGGGUAGGGGUAAAAUCCAUUGAUCCAUUGAAGACCACCAGUGGCGAAGGCGGCUUGCCAGAAUGCGCUCGACGGUGAGGGAUGAAAGCUGGGGGAGCAAACCGG